UCAUGUUCAACCAGACUAAAACACAGAUAAUGUCUUGGUGUAAAAGAUGGAGACUCAUGUUCAACCAGACUAAAACACAGAUAAUGUCUUGUUGGUAAAGAUGGAGACUCAUGUUCAACCAGACUAAAACACAGAUAAUGUCUUGGUCUAAAAGAUGGAGACUCAUGUUCAACCAGAAUAAAACACAGAUAAUGACUUGGUCUAAAAGAGACUCGUGUUCAACCAGACUAAAACACAGAUAAUGUCUUGGUGUAAAAGAGACUCAUGUUCAACCAGACUAAAACAGAUAAUGACUUGGUGUAAAAGAUGGAGACUAAGUGUUUUUCAGUUUUGUUUUGGUGAAGACAUUCUUGAGUUUACAAGCAAUUAUAAACAUUUGUGUAUUUUUAUUGAUGAACAUAUGACCUUUUCCAUACGGAACAUCUGACCUGGCCGACUCAGGAAGUAGAGCUCUUGGGGGAGUUUGAUAGGAAAAACAAACACUAAGAUAUUGGUUAUGCUACGUAUUCUAAACUGUGUCAGACAUGCGUGUGUCCUGUUCUGGACUAUUCAGUAGGAGUGUGGGGUGCUAAGAGGUGUGAGUGUGGGGUGCUAAGAGGUGUGAGUGUGGGGUGCUAAGAGGUGUGAGUGUGGGGUGCUAAGAGGUGUGAGUGUGGGGUGCUAAGAGGUGUGAGUGUGGGGUGCUAAGAGGUGUGAGUGUGGGGUGCUAAGAGGUGUGAGUGUGGGGUGCUAAGAGGUGUGAGUGUGGGGUGCUAAGAGGUGUGAGUGUGGGGUGCUAAGAGGUGUGAGUGUGGGGUGCUAAGAGGUGUGAGUGUGGGGUGCUAAGAGGUGUGAGUGUGGGGUGCUAAGAGGUGUGAGUGUGGGGUGCUAAGAGGUGUGAGUGUGGGGUGCUAAGAGGUGUGAGUGUGGGGUGCCAAGAGGUGUGAGUGUGGGGUGCUAAGAGGUGUGAGUGUGGGGUGCUAAGAGGUGUGAGUGUGGGGUGCUAAGAGGUGUGAGUGUGGGGUGCUAAGAGGUGUGAGUGUGGGGUGCUAAGAGGUGUGAGUGUGGGGUGCCAAGAGGUGUGAGUG